rnacentral:rRNA from 1 species
AUGGCCAUCUUUGACGAGUUCUACAUUGGGACCAUCGAACUCGGUUGCCUCAACUACGGGAUCAUCUCGCUCAUCCCCAAAGUGACGGGGGCCUCCGACAUUCGCCAGUUCCGCCCGAUCACGAUGAUCAAUGUGAUCUUCCGGAUUCUGGCAAAGGGGUACGCCAAUAGGGUGACCCGACUAGCGGACCUCAUUACCCACCCCAACCAGUCCGCCUUCGUAAAAGGGCGGUAUAUCCUGGAUGGGGUAUUAGUUCUUCAUGAAGUCCUCCAUGAGGUUCGGUCUAAACACCUCAAGGCGGUCUUCCUAAAAAUUGACUUUCACAAGGCCUACGACACUGUUAGUUGGUCCUUUCUUCGGGAAGUUUUGCUCCGGAAGGGCUUCGAUGAUCGUUGGAUCACCCGGGUGAUGCAGAUGGUGUCCUGCGGAUGCACUGCUGUGAACAUCAAUGGGGAGAUUGGUCCUUACUUCCCCACCCUCUGUGGGGUUAGACAAGGCGAUCCUUUCUCUCCAUUCCUGUUCAACAUGGUGGUGGACGCGCUUGCCGCCAUCCUUGAUAAGGCCAAAGCCGCUGGCCAUAUUCGUGGGAUUACCCCUCAUCUAGCGGGCGGCUCCGGAAUCUCCAUGCUCCAGUACGCCGACGACACCAUCAUCAUGGUCGAGGGCUCGGACACGGACUCGCUAACCUCAAGUUCCUUCUUCUCUGCUUCCAACAAAUGUCUGGUCUCAAGAUCAACUUCGACAAGAGUGAUGUGA